CAUAGAAAUAAACAAGGAACAACCUUGUUAAAACCCGAAUAAAAUAAUAAGUCGGGCUAGUCCCCUUUGGAUCACAAGUUCUGUUUCAUGCUUCUGACAACCGACAUUCAUUAGCAUAAAUCUAGGAGUUAAGAGUCUAAACUCGAUCAGGGAUAUCAUUUAAUAUUGAACAUGAAGGUCUUAAGUUAAUAAAACAAAAGACAGUUGAAAGCUUGCAUUGCAGCGGAAGUCUUAAUAGAAUAUUGAAUCCUAGCCUCAGCUCCGUCCCGUCAACACCGACCAGCCAACCUGAAAAACAUUUGAAGGUAUUUUUGGGCUAAGUACUAAUGUACUCAGUGGGCA
rnacentral:lncRNA from 1 species